rnacentral:rRNA from 1 species
AAUAGAUACCCUGGUAGUCCACGCCGUAAACGAUGUGUGCUAGACGUCGGAUGUUCCGCAUUCGGUGUCGCCGCUAACGCAUUAAGCACACCGCCUGGGGAGUACGGCCGCAAGGUUAAAACUCAAAGGAAUUGACGGGGGGCCCGCACAAGCGGCGGAGCAUGUGGUUUAAUUCGACGCAACGCGCAGAACCUUACCAGCCCUUGACAUCCCGGUCGCGGGGACCAGAGACGGUCUCCUUCAGUUCGGCUGGACCGGAGACAGGUGCUGCAUGGCUGUCGUCAGCUCGUGUCGUGAGAUGUUGGGUUAAGUCCCGCAACGAGCGCAACCCUCAUCCUUAGUUGCCAUCAUUUGGUUGGGCACUCUAAGGAAACUGCCGGUGACAAGCCGGAGGAAGGCGGGGAUGACGUCAAGUCCUCAUGGCCCUUAUGGGCUGGGCUACACACGUGCUACAAUGGCGGUGACAAUGGGCGGCGAGCCUGCAAAGGUCAGCAAAUCCCCAAAAGCCGUCUCAGUUCGGAUUGUCCU